UAAAAUAAAAUUUUAAAAAAUGCAGAGGGCGAGGGGCUGUUCCUGCGGAGAAAUUGCACUGACCUGGCUCCUGUGUCUCCAGAGGACAAACUUAUUACCCCAUUUCACAGAGGAGGGAACUGAAGCAUAAAGAAGAAAAAUUUGUCCAAGAUCACACAGCUAGCAGCAGAAUCAAGAAUAAAAAACCCAGGUGGCCCGGUGCCAGAGUUGGUGCUCUGACUGCUAAGUGUUCUUUAUGCUGCUAAAGUGGUUUUAGCUGGGCACAUAGCUGUCCAGAAUGAAGACUGUGUGUAUAGCCUCCCUAACAGACGGGAGAGAGCUGCCAAGUAACGGGAAUGCGUUUUGCCCCAGACCUGGUCGCUGGGCCACCGCCUGCUUCCUGGACACCCGCGUGUGGCCAGGGGGCUCUCACCUGUGCUUCAUCACACAUGUGGGGAGCUGCCCCCAAAGGGUGACAACUGAUAUCCUGAGCAAAGACGAUGGCAUGGAUGAGAGGACAAAACCGGGGCUGAGAAACACAUUCAUACACAUAAUGUAAAAAGCAAGAGAAGGAGACACAAGACAGUGAAGAGUUGUACAAGUGGGAUGGGGUCUGGAGAGCCACGUGGCUGGUUGCCAAUAAGGCUUAGCAACGGGAGUGCAGCCCUGCAGCCCGUGAUGGGUCAGCUGGUUUGGCUGCUGUGUGACUUUGGUCAAGUCACUUACUCUCUGUAAACCUGUUUCAUCAUCUGUUGCAUGGGGAUUACGAAAGUUUAUUCCACAUGGACUUGUUAACAUUUAAAAAAUGCACACACACACACACACACACACACACACACACACACACACAGAGUUCCUGGCACAUAGUGCUCCACAAAAGUAAUCUAAAGUAAUCAACAGAAGGCAUGCCUAUGAAAAGUAAGUAUGUCAUUCGCAGAAAGACAUGGACAAGCCUCGUAGGAACAACAGUACAUUCAAUUAUAUUGGCUGAAUUUUCCCUGAUUCCAAACCAAUCUUUUUCUAUUACCUUUUUAUUUCCUUAUUCGUAAUGAGAUUUAAAACUGGGUUAUAAAACUAAUCUUCCUUAUUUCAUUUUAAUUUAUUUUUCUUAGUACCUGUAGCCUGUGAUAGCAUGGCUUAAUAUUCCUAGGCUUCUUUGAUUGAGUGAAUCUUUUGUUUACAAGUAGCCUAUUGAUAUGUAUACAUUUUUUUAGUUACUACCAUUUCAAGGAAACUGAGUAGUUGAAUUUACAAUGGAAGUGCGAUGACAAAAAAGCAUUAAUAAGUUUUAAAUGUUGACAAUGGAUGAAUUUAAGGAUUUAAAAAUUGA